CGCUUGCUGUCCCGCAACUUCAGCAAGAUGCACUGCUUUCGUAUCUCCGAGAGCGCGGCCCCGGAGCCAGGUGAUGGGGACGAUGGUGUGGACGGAAGCGCCCCUGCUGGCCCUGGUAAAGAGGUGGCGGCGCCUGAGUCCAGCAAGCAAACUCUGAAGAUCUUCGAUGGCAACGACACAGUGCAGAGAAACCACUUCCGUGUCAUCAGCGUCCCCGCCUGGCCAGGAGCCAGGAGGUGCUGGUGAGAAGGAGCUGCCUUGCAGGCCCACUCCUGGGGGGAGCUGCAGGGCGCCCGGCACGGCCUGGCUCCUGUCACACCGGCCCCCACUGCAGGAGGCGGCGCUGCGGGCCUACUACAUCAUGGAGGACCCCCAGGCCUUCCAGCUGCAGGCGCUCCCCCCACCCACACAGGCUGGUGACGCUGACACCGAGGCCCUGGGGAAGGUCUGGAGCGGUGGGACUGCCGAGGACGAGGGCAGUAGAGGCCCAGGGUCCCGAGACGUUCCCGAGGCCUGGGUCAUUCGUGCUCUACCCCGCACCCAGGAGGUCCUGAAGAUCUACCCUGCCUGGCUCAAGGUCGGUGUGGCCUACGUGUCCCUUCGUGUGACCCCGCAGAGCACGGCCCAGACUGUGGUGCUGGAGGUCCUCCCACUACUUGGACGCCAGGACGAGGGUCCGGAGGGCUUCCAGCUGCUGGAGGUGCUCAUGGGCAGCAGGCAAGUCCAGCGGAUGGUGCUGGCGGACGAGGAGCUCUUGCUUGGCCGGCUUCAAGCUAUCCGGCAGACGUCCCUACGGCAGAUGAGCCAGACGCGGUUCUAUGUGGCUGAGAGAAGAGCAGUGGCCCCACGUGUCUCUCUGUUCGUGGGAGGUCUGCCUCCUGGCCUGUCUCCCCAGGAGUACAGCAGUCUUCUGGACGAGGCUAUGUCCCUGAAAGCUGGCCUGGUGUCCAUGAGCCACAUCUACUCCUCUCAAGGUGCCGUGGUGCUGGACGUGGCCUGCUUCGCCGAGGCCGAGCGGCUGUAUAUGCUGGUCAGGGACACGGCUGUUCACAGCCGGCCGCUGACUGCCCUGGUGCUCCCGGAUGUGCUGCACACGAAGCUGCCCCCAGACUGCUGCCCCCUCCUUGUGUUUGUGAACCCCAAAAGCGGAGGCCUCAAGGGCCGCGAUCUGCUCUGCAGUUUCCGGAAGCUGCUGAACCCGCACCAGGUCUUCGAGCUGACCAACGGGGGGCCUCUGCCUGGGUUCCACAUGUUCUCCCAGGUACCCUGCUUCCGGGUGCUGGUGUGUGGAGGGGACGGCACUGUGGGCUGGGUGCUCGCCACCCUGGAGGAGGUGCGGCACCGUCUGGCCUGCCCAGAGCCUGCCGUGGCCAUCCUGCCCCUGGGCACAGGGAAUGACCUGGGCCGGGUCCUCCGCUGGGGGGCGGGCUACAGUGGAGAGGAUCCAUUCUCUGUGCUGCUGUCGGUGGACGAGGCUGACGCUGUGCUCAUGGACCGCUGGACCAUCCUGCUGGACGCUCAGGAGGCUGGUGGAGGGGAGGGCAGUGUGGUGGACGCAGAGCCGCCCAAGAUCGUACACAUGAGUAACUACUGUGGGAUUGGCAUCGAUGCAGAGCUGAGCUUGGACUUCCACCAGGCUCGGGAGGAAGAGCCUGGCAAGUUCACGAGCAGGCUCCACAACAAGGGCGUGUACGUGCGGGUGGGGCUGCAGAAGCUCAGCCAGGCCCGCGGGCUGCACCGGGAGAUCCGGCUGCAGGUGGAGCAGCAGGAGGUGGAGCUGCCCAACAUCGAGGGCCUCAUCUUCAUCAAUAUCCCCAGCUGGGGCUCGGGGGCCGACCUGUGGGGCUCUGACAAUGACUCCAAGUUCGAGAAGCCACGCAUGGAUGACGGGCUGCUGGAGGUGGUGGGGGUGACGGGCGUUGUGCACAUGGGUCAGGUCCAGGGUGGGCUGCGCUCUGGUAUCCGCAUCGCCCAGGGGUCCUACUUCCGUGUCACCCUCCUCAAGGCCACACCUGUGCAGGUGGACGGCGAGCCCUGGGUCCAGGCUCCCGGGCACAUGAUCAUCGCAGCUGCAGGCCCCAAGGUCCACAUGCUCAGGAAGGCCAAGCAGAAGCCCAGGAAGGCUGGGCCCCCCAGGGAUGCACGAAUGGAUGGGGAGCCUGCCCCCGAGGGAGACUCCAAGUAGAGGCGGGCCCUGGAGUCCUGCAGAAGUGCCUGCGGUAGAGGGACUCAAACACAGCUCUGACCACAGGUGUCUCCUUGUCCCCAUCCCUGUGCCACAUGGAAGCUGCAGGGGAGCAGCAGGCCUGGCCGGGAGCCCAGAGGGAGUCAGGAGUGUGUGAAGUGGGGAGCAGUGGCUUUAAUCACUGAGCUCAGUGUGGGGCCUUUCCUUCCAUCUGUCCAGUCGCCAAGCCAGUUCCAUGUCUGCUCAUUGCUUCUCCAUGGGGGGGGGCUCAGUGCCAUGGGACAUGGCUGUGGCUGCUGGGUGGGCCGCUCACCACAGCCCUGCUGCUGAACCCAGGUCCAGCUGGCUCAGCCCACAGGGGAACCUGAUCAAAAUGUAACAAGCUGCCUAGCGCGCCCCGCGCCCCAGAAGGCCCGCCUCUCCUGACUGUCUGGUACCCUCGCCCUUGGCAGUCGGGCCUCCUAGCCUUCACACCUCAGGCGGCAGCAUCACCAGGACGUUUGGCCUCAACCUCAGAUGUGGCCCCACCCAGCCCCCCAAGCUUGUGCUGAAACCACCCAGACAUGCAUCGUAAGGGCUGCAAGUGACGAGCAGCCUUCUUGGGUUCCUCUGGAACACGUGUGAUGUGUGAGACUCUCACGUCUGUGUCCCUGGGGGUGGACUUGGCUUUUGCUUUGCAGGCCCUGUGGGUGGUCAGGUCCUCCGAAUUUAAGUGAGUCUGUGUCCCCAGAGGGGGCUCCGCACUGAUGCCCUCCCUCACGUGUAACUUACCACUACCUGAAGGUGACCAUAACUUAUAUCUGGGACAAAUACAGUCCGGGAAUCCA